AUAAUUGGUUGUAUUUGUGAAUGUAGAUAUGUGGGUUUAGAAGACAUCUCCAAGCUAGAGGCACUUGAUCCUGAUUAUAAACUGAGUUAGUUUGAGGAGCUAAAAUGUUACAUACAGCUCAGAUGAUGAUCAACCAGCAUAAAGCAAAGUGAAGAAGCCAAAGACAAAAGGUCAUAUCACAAAUUAGCUGUAUUUCUGUAUAAAAUAUCUAUCAUAUUGUAAUGCUUUCUUCAUCAGUUCUGCAGAUAAGCUUGUCUUUUAAAAGUCUCUGCAACUGUCUGGCUGCAGAGACAAUUUGCUGGGGUUCAGAAAAUGCUUCCUGUCUCCUCCUUGUCUUCUUUCUUCCACAUGUCAUUUCUUGAUAAAACUGGCCAACACAGUAUUGCUUGGAGAUCCGCCAACAAAAGCAUCCAGUCACCAGCGUGAGGAUUAGGGGGACCAGCCAGUGAAAGAAUUGUUAAGAAACAAGUAUAUAUCCCGCUGGAAGAAAAUAUGAAUUUUAUAACACAUACACACUCUCACUGAAAUAAAAAGCAAGGCAUGCAGAAGCACACUGAGAAUAGAGAAAUGGAGAUCAACACAUUAAGAAGUACAAAGAACAAAGCUACAGCUUUGAAUGGGUAAUAAUACCAGAGGAAAUGACUACAGCAGAUCCUAAGGAUUCAUUCAGCAUUGACAGCUUGAAACCCAAUAGAACAAAUGGGAAAUCAAGCUCCAUAGUAUGAAGAUGAAGAAGAAUGAAUUCCUCAAAAGGUAAUGAUUUACAUUGGCUAAAUAGGCCCAGGAGUCUCACUGAACCCUAAAAUACCUAGCAUGAAGAGGACAAACAUUCAUCAAACAGCGUAGCUGUGGAAUCUCCAUCCUUGGAGUCAGUGAAGACCACCCUUGGAGUUUGACUGAAGAAUGAAUUGGUGAGGCCCAGAGCAGCCAGUUGGACUGGAUGACCUCUGGAGAUCCCUUCUGACUUAUGAGGUUCUAUGAAUCUGCAAAAGUUAGUGAGAGCUCCUGCACGUGGCUUCCCCUUCCAUUGACAACAUUUCUGCAGAGGAAUGCAACAAAGACUAUUUCUGUUGCAGUCAGGAAGACUAUUUCCUUUUUCAAAAACUAAUGUCAUUGCUUGAGCCCAGCUAUUAAGGUGUUUUCUGUGGUUACCUGUGGUGCUGAAGCAGUGUUAUAGAACAAUUCAAACCUGUUUCCUCAUUCUCAACAACUACCUUGUUCUCUCAUGCUUUGGGUCUCUCCUGUUUGAUUCUUCCUGCACAAGCUGAAGACAAUAUUCAGAUCAGUUUAUCUUUAAAAAGCAGAAAAAAUUGUAAUUUACUUAUUUCAUUUUUUAGUUCUUAUUUCUGCUUUAUAGAAAUUCCUAAGAAGAUAUGGAAAUUAAACAAGCAUGAAGGUCUUUUACUGGGCUGUGAGCACUGACCACAAUUUGAAGGGUAUUUAGUUCCCUGUUUUCCAUCAUGUUUUCUGAAGGUGUAACAAUAAGCAAAGAAGUGACUUUUGUUCCCAUAACUUAAUAGUAAAAAUAAAUUAAUUGAAGUAACCCAGUAUGUACCUUUGACAGAGUUUUAUUUUCCACACCACAGGGAAA